rnacentral:rRNA from 1 species
CACGUAGGGUGCGAGCGUUGUCCGGAAUUAUUGGGCGUAAAGAGCUCGUAGGCGGCUUGUCGCGUCGUCCGUGAAAACCCACAGCUCAACUGUGGGCUUGCGGUCGAUACGGGCUAGCUAGAGUGUGGUAGGGGAGAUCGGAAUUCCUGGUGUAGCGGUGAAAUGCGCAGAUAUCAGGAGGAACACCGGUGGCGAAGGCGGAUCUCUGGGCCAUUACUGACGCUGAGGAGCGAAAGCGUGGGGAGCGAACAGG